CAACAAAUCGACACAAAAGCGAGCGAUGGAGUCGCGAGGAGGCGUUAUCCCCGACUCCUAUUCCCUCUUCUCCUUCUCGUCUUCCUGCUUGCUUCUGUAGUAGCUCUUUAGUUCGGCGAAGAAGAAAGGGAACAAACCAUGGCUGUUUUGUCACUUUUCGACUCGCUCUACUGCCAAGAAGACAGCUUGGAGCUGGAAGAAGAGCGAACGGGACCGGUGCCGCCGGUUUUGGAUGAGCUGGCGGCGGUGGCGGAAGAGGAGUGGGCUAACGUACUCUGCUUCUUGGCGGCCAAGGAAGAGUAGACCCGCCCCGAGCUGCCGGUUGACUGUGGCGGGGAAGACACGUACCUGCUGUCGGCAAGGAGGGAGGCAGUGGAGUGGGUGGCCCGCACCGCCGCGCGCCGCGCAUUCUCCGUCCUCACGGCGAUGCUCGCCGUAAACUACUUGGACCGGUGCUUCCUCCCCUCUGCCGCCGCCGGCGGGCUCCGUCUCCAAAAGGACAAGCCGUGGAUGGGGCGGCUGGCGGCAGUGGCCUGCCUGUCCUUGGCGGCGAAGGUGGAGGAGACCAGUGUCCCCCUGCUUCUUGACCUGCAGGCGGCUGCGACGCCAGAGCCGGAAGAGAAUAAGUACGUGUUCGAGGCCAAGACUAUCCGGCGGAUGGAGCUCCUGGUCCUCUCCACGCUCAGCUGGCGGAUGAAUCCCGUCACUCCACUCUCUUUCGUCCACCACCUUCUUCUUCGACUCUAUCCCAAAUAUAAGAACGCCAUCUCCACCACGACCGCCGCCCGUAUCCGGGAGCUGGUCGGCGGAUGCGAAACCAUUCUCCUCUCCGUCAUAGCUGACUGGAGAUGGGUCCGGUAUCCUGCAUCCGCGUGGGCCGCUGCGGCGCUGCUCCACGCGGCUGACGGCGGUGGAGGCGCUGCCGCCGCUGCUUCCGACUUCUACGAGACCCACCGCCUCGUUGCCUUCCUCGACGUUCCAAAGGAAAAGGUGGAGGAGUGUUAUCAGCUCAUCAUGGAAUCGAUGGUUCACGACGGUGGCAUCACUGGCCACAAGCGAAAGCAUUGGACUUCGUCCUUGUCCCACUGCCACACUUGGCCAGGUAGUCCUGAUGGGGUGGUCGGUUCCUGCUUCAGUUGCGAGAGCUCGUCGAGCGGUGGCGAUUCCUGGACAAUCUGCCCAUCCUCGGUGUCAUCUUCGCCGGAGAUUCGUCCUUCCAAGAGGCCAAAUAGCACUGCCAACAAAACCAUUGGAGACGAAGGAAUCGUGGAGGAGGGUGUCCUCUUCGCUUUUGUUCCGAUGUGACAAGCAUGAACUGGUUACUGUGUUGGAAGACGGAGCUAUUCUAAACGACUCCGGUGGCCGUGGGGCAGAAGAACGCUAGAGAGGAGGAAACAUAGAUUGGAUGCCUUUGUUCAUUCAUCUGUUGUCUCUAUCCUUUGGGUUAAGAA